rfam:Ascaris lumbricoides genome assembly, scaffold: ALTE_scaffold0007755
GGCGAGAUGGCCGAGUGGUCUAAGGCGCUGGUUUUAGGCACCAGUCUCUUCGGAGGCGCGGGUUCGAAUCCCGUUCUCGUCA